rnacentral:rRNA from 1 species
AACGAACGCUGGCGGCAGGCUUAACACAUGCAAGUCGAGCGAAGCCUUCGGGCUUAGCGGCGGACGGGUGAGUAACGCGUGGGAACGUGCCCUUUGGUACGGAAUAGCCCCGGGAAACUGGGAGUAAUACCGUAUGUGCCCUUCGGGGGAAAGAUUUAUCGCCAAAGGAUCGGCCCGCGUUGGAUUAGGUAGUUGGCGGGGUAAUGGCCUACCAAGCCGACGAUCCAUAGCUGGUUUGAGAGGAUGAUCAGCCACACUGGGACUGAGACACGGCCCAGACUCCUACGGGAGGUAGCAGUGGGGAAUCUUAGACAAUGGGGGAAACCCUGAUCUAGCCAUGCCGCGUGAUCGAUGAAGGCCCUAGGGUUGUAAAGAUCUUUCAGUGGGGAAGAUAAUGACUGUACCCACAGAAGAAGCCCCGGCUAACUCCGUGCCAGCCGCCGCGGUAA